rnacentral:lncRNA from 1 species
CCAAUGUUCCCUCAACCUCAUUUUCUCCCUUAACUAAAAAUAUUCUUAAAAUUAAACUAGAUGAUUUUAAAGGUAAUAGCAGGUUUGAUUUUCCCUAAGUAAAUUCCUUCUAGCCAAAAUGCUAGCAUGCAGCAUGUAUAUGUGAAACCUGAGAAGAGAAUAAAGCUAACAUUUUUAUGUUGGUAAUUACUGUUGACUUGGUUUUUUGCUUUUAGUAUUCUAAGCAGCUCCACUGCUUUGUGUGACUGCUAUUUUCAGCCAUCUUUUAUCUAGGGUUUCUCUUCUCUUAAACGUCUUUCUUUUUAUUCCUACAGUUAAGGAGCUCAGGUGUAUAAUUAUUCCUGCAGAAGGACGUGGGCUGUGUUUGUAUGUGUACGAGACCAGACUCUGCUGGCUGUUCGUUUGUUUUGGUUGUCUUAAUGACGAUCGUGGAUUGCUUCAGGACCGAUGGGUCUGCAGCCUCUGGACCAGUAAGAGAGAUGGCCCAAAUGAGUAAACGGAGGUGUCUACAGAGCCCAUGAAGAAUCAGAGGAGCCUCAACAGCUGGAUGCUAUAAAUGCCUCAGUAUUGGCACUCAUCUUUCAAUCAUUUCACUAAUCAUACAUAGAAUAUUCAGGCAAAGGAUGUUUGCCAUGGAUGCAUCAUCUGCUUCCCAGCUCUGCAGUAUCUGACAGUGAGUGAGAUGGGCUCACUUUAGUGUUAAAUGUGUUGGAUGGAGAUAAUUAAUUCUCAAUCUGUGUGAGUAAAUCAGUUUCCCCUCUUUCCCCAGCUUUAAUCAGGCUCCCACGCACAGGCAGGACCUCACACAUGCUCCCUGCUCUCUGGUAUGUUGUCAAAUCCCGUAGGCCAAAAGAAAUCUACUUUACAGAUUUUAGAUGGAAUUUGAAAAACAAAAGUGUUCUUAUUGAACAGUAAUGAGAUUCUACUAACCUCUUGAUUUAUAGACUAAAUGUGACAGAUGUGGCUAAUUUGGCAUGGAUAAUACUGAAAAAUACAAUAAAAUUCUAUUUUUAAAAUACUGACA